rnacentral:rRNA from 1 species
AUUGAACGCUGGCGGCAGGCCUAACACAUGCAAGUCGAACGGUAACAGGAAACAGCUUGCUGUUUCGCUGACGAGUGGCGGACGUGUGAGUAAUGUCUGGGAAACUGCCUGAUGGAGGGGGAUAACUACUGGAAACGGUAGCUAAUACCGCAUAACGUCGCAAGACCAAAGAGGGGGACCCUCGGGCCUCUUGCCAUCGGAUGUGCCCAGAUGGGAUUAGCUUGUUGGUGGGGUAACGGCUCACCAAGGCGACGAUCCCUAGCUGGUCUGAGAGGAUGACCAGCCACACUGGAACUGAGACACGGUCCAGACUCCUACGGGAGGCAGCAGUGGGGAAUAUUGCACAAUGGGCGCAAGCCUGAUGCAGCCAUGCCGCGUGUAUGAAGAAGGCCUUCGGGUUGUAAAGUACUUUCAGCGGGGAGGAAGGGAGUAAAGUUAAUACCUUUGCUCAUUGACGUUACCCGCAGAAGAAGCACCGGCUAACUCCGUG